UAAAAGACUUUUCUAAAAAGACAACCAUCUAUAACAUUAGCUCAAGAUUGUGGUUAGAUUUGGGGGGAAGGAAAAGAAGAAGUGGUUUGUGGGGAAAAACAAGGGUAGUUCCAUUCUAUAGUUACACGAAUGUAUUAGCUUUGUUAUAAAUUAUUGAGCAUUACAUUAAUAUUUCAUUGUGGAUGCAUUUCUGUAUGUAUGUUAUACAUCAAUAAAAAUGUAAAUAUUACAUAUUUAAUACUAACUUAAUAUUUCAGAAUAAUAGCAAUGUUUCGUAUUGUUUUGUUUGAAAGUGGGGCAUUGGCCAGGCGCGGUCCACUGCACUCCAACCUGGGCAACAGAGUGAGACUGCAUAUCAAAAAAAAAAAAAUAGUGGAGCAUUUACAUUCAGUCAUCAUGAGAUGGAUACUAAUAUUCCAAGAAUUCUUCCAUCUCUAUGAGAACAAGCCCAUUUUAACUUUCUGGAGGAUAAAAUAGCAUGCUGAGGAAAGCCAAAGUGCGCCAGUUUACAGACAGCUCACUCCCAGAAGCAGAGCCACCUAAUUCACCAGCAUCUGACCACUCACACCUGAAGGAGCCAAACUGAGCCCAGAAGAAUGGCCCAGCUAAGCCCAGCCUAAAUUUCUAACCAGCUCAACCCUGAGCUAGUAUGUUUCAGGAUUGUUAUGCAGUUAUAGCUUAGUAAUAUAUACACCCAUUAAAGACAGGAUUCCAGGAUUCCAGGACAGAUUGAUUACAAAUAACCUGCAAAUGCUUGGCACCCUGUAAGUAUUGAUAUUGUGUUUCCUUUAUUUAAAGUUAAAUUUGUUGUAAGAUGGUAUUGACUUAUAUAGAAGUGAGGCAAGAGAAUAGGGUCUGGAGGCAGGGAACUUAAGGCCAAUUCGUGCUGAAUUCCUAAAGAAGAAACACCAAGGUCUGGGAGCAGGGAACCUAAGGCCAAUUAACGUGAACUUCCUACAUCUAAACCAAAAGGAAAACCUCAUCUACACCUGAGUAGCAAAGGAUCAAAGGUGACUGUUGCUACAACCCUCUCCUUUGCACCAGUUCUCUGAUAGAAAAGGAGAGUGACUUGGAGUGGCCGUGGGCCAAGCACAGGCCAUGCCUUCAUCUGCAUGGGGUACCAAUUCACCUCAGCCUUUGAUUAGCCACGGACCAAAUCUUUCAUCCAGAUAAGGGGUAGCUGAUAGGGACCUCAAAAGGAGUACUUAAAACCCAGAUAACUUUGUAACCGGGUCCUUGAGCUGCUUGCUGGGGCUCACACCCAUCCCGUGGAGUGCUUUCUUGCUUUAAUAAACCCCUGCUUUUGCUGUUUCCUUCA
rnacentral:lncRNA from 1 species